rnacentral:rRNA from 1 species
UUUGACCUCGGAUCAGGCAGGGAUACCCGCUGAACUUAAGCAUAUCAAUAAGCGGAGGAAAAGAAACCAACAGGGAUUGCCUUAGUAACGGCGAGUGAAGCGGCAAUAGCUCAAAUUUGAAAUCUGGCGUCUUUGGACGUCCGAGUUGUAAUUUGUAGAGGAUGUUUCGGUAUUAGCUCCGGUCUAAGUCCCUUGGAACAGGGUGUCGCAGAGGGUGAGAAUCCCGUACGCGACCGGCUGCUUUUGCCAUGUGAAACUCCUUCGACGAGUCGAGUUGUUUGGGAAUGCAGCUCUAAUUGGGAGGUAAAUUUCUUCUAAAGCUAAAUACUGGCCAGAGACCGAUAGCGCACAAGUAGAGUGAUCGAAAGAUGAAAAGCACUUUGGAAAGAGAGUUAAAAAGUACGUGAAAUUG